rnacentral:rRNA from 1 species
UACGGGGGGGGCAAGCGUUGUUCGGAAUUACUGGGCGUAAAGGGCUCGUAGGCGGCCAACUAAGUCAGACGUGAAAUCCCUCGGCUUAACCGGGGAACUGCGUCUGAUACUGGAUGGCUUGAGUUUGGGAGAGGGAUGCGGAAUUCCAGGUGUAGUGGUGAAAUGCGUAGAGAUCAGGCGGAACACCCGUGGCGAAGGCGGCCAGCUGGGCCGUCCCUGACGCUGAGGCGCGAAGGCGUGGGGAGCGAACGGG